AACUUUCGGCAACGGAUCACUUGGGACACCAGUCGAUGAAGAACGCAGCGAAACGCGAUAGGUAAUGUGAAUUGCAGAAUUCAGUGAAUCAUCGAAUCUUUGAACGCACAUUGCGCCCAUUGGUAUUCCGAUGGGCAUGCCUGUUCGAGCGUCAUUUAUAGACCAUCAGACACCCCUUUGCGGGGUGGGUCUGGCCUUGGGUGAUUCGUCCCGUUGAGGGACGCGCCCGAAAGAGCCCGGCGGCGGUUCGGAAGCCUCAAACGCAUCGGAAACCCUUCGUUUGUCAGGCGGUCCUACCCUCAGCCCCUCAGAAAAUCAAACAACCUCAAGGUUGACCUCGGAUCAGGUAGGAAUACCCGCUGAACUUAAGCAUAUCAAUAAGCGGAGGCU
rnacentral:misc_RNA from 1 species